rnacentral:hammerhead_ribozyme from 1 species
GUACUGCUGAAGAGUCCCAAACUAGGACGAAACAGAUAUCCAGUAC